AGAAUCAACGCUGGCGGCGUGCCUAACACAUGCAAGUCGAACGAGAAAGUGGAGCAAUCCAUGAGUAAAGUGGCGACCGGGUGAGUAACACGUGACUAACCUACCUUCGAGUGGGGGAUAACCUCGGGAAACCGAGGCUAAUACCGCAUAACAUCGUGAGAUCAAAGCAGCAAUGCGCUGGAAGAGGGGGUCGCGGCUGAUUAGCUAGUUGGCGGGGUAAUGGCCCACCAAGGCGAAGAUCGGUA
rnacentral:rRNA from 1 species